GAUCUCCAGGUGAGCGCACGCCCGCCAGAGCUCGAGAAGAGCUAUUCAAAGCCCCACUUCACCGAUGCAGACUCUGAAGCAGGAAGGAUGGAGAAGCCAGCUGAAGCUACAACCUACCUUAACCAGCAACGGGCAAAUCACUUCAGAUCACAUAACAAAUCCACGGAAAGAUGGGAUGAAUGGGCAGACCAGGCUGGCGGAUGAACAUGCACGCGAGCAUCUCUGUCCCCUCUUUCCUCUCCUCCUCCUCCACCAUGGGAGUUUAGAGGGGAUUUCCUUUUUCCUGUACACCCCUCUGCGCUUCUGCCCUGAACCGGUGUCUGCCUCUCUGCCCUGGAUUGCAGGGGGGACAAAGUAGAAGCAAACCCGGACCCUUGCCCUCCAUGCCUGAGCAGCCAGCUCUGUGUCUGCCCCGGCUGUCCCAGCGGGAUUCUCCAUCCCCGCGGAGAUCCACCUGCUUCAGCCUGACCACCAAAGACCGCAUCAAGGAAGAUGAAAGUAGCUGAGGGAGAGAGGAGUCAGACUCGAUCACUUCUUGGCUCACCCUGAAAAAUCUCCCUUCUCCAACCCGGGGACCCGAGAUGCGCAGGGAUGGAGGGAAGGGGGGGUGGUGGGGUCUAGAGCAGGAUGGUCUGACCGGGCCAGCUCGAGGCCACUAUUUUAACAGAAUCUGUCAACAUGGCCAUGUUCACAGUUUCUCUUUGGCUUUUUGUUUUCAUUUACUAAAAUACAUUUCUAAAUUCACACACAGAAAAUUUUGCUCUUUGUAGC
rnacentral:lncRNA from 1 species